ensembl:lncRNA
UAGGGUUAAAUUAGUACAUCCAGCUGACCCCAGAUGACAUAACCAGGCGCGCGGGUCGACCUGAGUUUGGACUCCACCCCUCCGCUUUACCCCCAACAGCAACUCCU